CCAGUUCUGUUAAUGUGAGUCCAGCAUCCGGAGUCCGUCGGCAGUGUCCAGCGAGUUCGGCGGCAAGGUUCCAGAAGACGUUUCGUUAAUUUUUCCAUGGAAAGUCUUCGUCGGAUUGACUGACCAUAGUCAAAGGGCCUACGCAAAGAGCGUCGAGGAACGUGGGGAUUGUCAACCGGGCUUAAGGCUGCCGUAACACAUAAAAGCGUGCUCUGCACCAGGCAUCAUGUCAACGUUCAGGUACACUUCGUCCGGGUUACCGAUAGCCCGAAACAUAGUUCACUUCAAGCAUUUCUCCACCUUCAAGAAUUCGAAGAUCAUCAGCUACCCGAACUUGAGAUUCAAUAUCCAAUGUCAGAGGACGACCUAUAGUCGUAAUUUUUCGACUCUUCGAAAGGACAUCGUCCUGCGGCAGGGCUUUGGUUCAUCAACGAUUUUGACACUUGACAGACGUUACUCUGAACAAGUUCAGAAGAUGCCGGAUUUCGUGGAAAAAUACUAUCCGCAAGUGUCCGACGUGGUUACCCACGCCACGAAGUUUUCAACAUCCACCGAGGGUAUCUACGAUCAUAUAAAGGGCGUUCAAGUCACGAGCCGGUUAGCGAAGCCUCUCGCACCGAGGAUCCGAGCUUACUUAGAAGAGUGCGUCGCACUUUGUUGUCCGGAUAACGUUUACGUCUGCGAUGGAAGUGAGGAGGAGAAUCUGCAGCUGCUCAAACUACUCGAGAAAAAAGGAACCAUCAAAGCUUUGCCUAAAUACGAAAAUUGCUGGUUGGCAAAGACGAAUCCCGCCGACGUUGCACGUGUGGAGAGCAGGACCUUCAUAAGCACGGAUGAGAGAAGCAAAACCAUUCCAACCCCGCGUGACGGGGUCAAGGGAACCCUGGGGAAUUGGAUGUCACCGGAGGACAUGAACAAGGCUGUGCUUCAGCGUUUUCCCGGCUGCAUGAAAGGUCGUACCAUGUACGUCGUUCCCUUCAGCAUGGGCCCCGUAGGCUCAAACUUGUCGAAGUUAGGCAUCGAGAUCACGGAUUCCGCCUACGUUGUUUGCUCGAUGCGAGUGAUGACCAGGAUGGGCAGUGCCGUUCUUGACUGCCUGGGCAACGACGAGUUUGUUAAGUGUCUCCAUUCCGUCGGAACCCCGGCGAGCAACGCGACUCACCCCGUGAUGUCCUCUUGGCCUUGCGAUCCGGAAAGGACGAUAAUCCUCCACAAACCAGCAACAAACGAUAUCGUUUCUUAUGGCAGUGGCUACGGGGGCAACUCUCUUCUCGGAAAGAAGUGCUUUGCCCUCAGAAUCGGUUCGACGAUCGCCAGGGACGAGGGAUGGCUCGCCGAGCACAUGCUGAUCUUAGGAAUCACGAACCCCAAGGGCAGGAAGCGCUACAUUGCAGCCGCCUUUCCCAGCGCGUGCGGAAAGACAAACAUGGCCAUGAUGCAGCCGACACUUCCCGGGUACAAGGUGGAGUGCGUGGGGGACGAUAUUGCCUGGAUGAAGUUCGACAAGGAGGGAAAAUUGCGGGCGAUCAAUCCUGAGAACGGUUUUUUCGGCGUGGCACCGGGCACCAGUACCCUCAGCAAUCCAAACGCGAUGAAAACAGUCUUUAAGAACACGAUUUUCACGAACGUUGCUGCCACUAGCGAUGGCGGUGUGUUCUGGGAAGGCAUGGAAAACGAGCUAGAGGAAAACGUGGAGGUCGAGGAUUGGCUAGGCAACAAGUGGAUGAGAAGCUCGAAGACACCAGCUGCCCACCCUAAUUCGAGGUUUUGCACACCCGCGAAACAGUGUCCUAUUAUAGACCCGGACUGGGAAAAUCCCGAGGGGGUGCCAAUCGACGCCAUAUUGUUUGGUGGCCGAAGGCCAGAGGGGGUUCCACUUGUCUAUCAAGCUAGAUGUUGGCAGCACGGAGUCUUCAUUGGUGCAACAAUGCGCUCUGAGGCUACCGCCGCAGCGGAACACAAAGCCAAAGUCAUCAUGAAUGAUCCUUUUGCCAUGCGGCCCUUCUUCGGCUAUAACUUCGGACACUACCUCCAGCACUGGCUGAGUAUGGCCGAUGUACCAAACGCGCAACUACCCGCCAUAUUCCAUGUGAAUUGGUUCAGAAAAGGAGCCGAUGGAAAGUUUCUCUGGCCAGGUUUCGGUGAAAAUUCCCGGGUCCUUGACUGGAUCUUACGACGAGUUGAUGGAGCUGAUAUCGCCGUCGAAUCACCGAUCGGUCUUCUACCUAGACCUGGUACUCUUAAUUUGGAUGGUCUGAAGAUUUCCAUCGACACAAAUGCUCUGUUCGAUCUCCCUCGCGAGUUUUGGCAACGCGAAGCUGCCGAGCUCAGAGAAUACCUCGAGGAUCAGGUCAACGUGGAUUUGCCGCAAGAAAUCAGAACACAACUGAACAUUCUUGCGGGCAAAGUCGCCAACAUUUAAGCUCACGAAUUCAUCGAUUAAAUGAGAAUAAAAUGGGAAAGCCUUGUCGAUCUGUUGUUGGAUUCGUCGAUGCAUGUACAGAUCGUUGGGAAUGAAGACGCUUACGGUUCUCAAGCCGAAACCACGCUCACAUUCAUAUUCCCAAUUUAGUAGCGCACUCUCACACGAAAUAGGUUUUUGAAACGAAUAUCGGAGGUUCCUGGACGGCAUUUAGUUUUACGAAGGUAGUGAAUAAUGCCGCACAUAUUUUCGGUAGCGAAGUAUCACAGUCAGAACUGGGCACCGUUUAGUAGGUGAUGAUUAAUGUUUUGUCGUAAAUUUAAAGCAUAUGGAUUUUGUUAUUUAUUUAUUCAUGCUGCAAUAACGUCAGUUGUUAAUGUUUGUAUUGUGCCACUUCACUGUGAUAAGUGUGCUUUGUAGUAACCAAGGCUUUUGUAAUACUAAGUACGGUGGAGCACGGGUCGGUAACCAACCGGCAUUUACCGUCCAGGAUAUCUCGAAAAUUAGUUGCAAAAAACUUAUUUCGUGUUAGAGAGCGCUACCGAAUAAGGGGUACUUGAAAUGGGUAUGCGGGCUCUAAGGUGCCUCUCUGCUAGCAAUAACUCAACCAAGAACUCUGCCGUACCGAUGAAUUUCUGCAUUGCCGACGAUCGUCUCUACUGCACUUUGAGCGAGAAGUUAUAGCUUGAGUCAACGCAGGAUAGCGCAGAAUGUAAAUUCGCGAUGAAAUAAUGUCAAACAAAGACUUAAUUCUUGAUGUACUAAAGAUGGCUGAGUCAGGCUUGGAAUGUACAGUGAAUUUAGCGUAAAUGAAUUCUCGGCGGAUUGAUUACUUUUUUUCUGAACGUCUUUCUAAGAGAUUUUACAUUUCUUCUUUUUGGCUUCGUCUAAAAAAUUCUAAACCUCACCAACAGACCUAUAUGAUUCGUGCUUCGCGUGACGCGACGGCACUUUGUAUUUCAAGCGAAAAAAACCGUAUAAAUAGGAAAAAAUCAACACCGGGAGAAACAAACGACAACACCCUGCUGUUCAGACACCCCUGCAAUCUCCUAAUUAAACACUACUUUUAAUUAACUCUACCGGAGUAAUUGCAGUGCACGGUGGUUCUAUAACCGUGCGAAAUGAAAUAAUGCGAUGAAUUUUGACUUGGUGCUUCUCAAAAUCCGCAACAUUUAGUGUUGGACGGCAAUCACGGCAAAUAAAAUAAAAAUCACUUGGCUAA